rnacentral:tRNA from 1 species
CGGGGUGUGGCUCAGUUUGGUAGAGUACCUGAAUGGGGUUCAGGGGGCCGGAAGUUCGAAUCUUCUCACUCCGACCA